GGCCCUUCGGGGUACACGAGUGGCGAACGGGUGAGUAACACGUGGGUAAUCUGCCCUGCACUUCGGGAUAAGCCUGGGAAACUGGGUCUAAUACCGGAUAUGAGCUCCUGCCGCAUGGUGGGGGUUGGAAAGUUUUUCGGUGCAGGAUGAGUCCGCGGCCUAUCAGCUUGUUGGUGGGGUAAUGGCCUACCAAGGCGACGACGGGUAGCCGGCCUGAGAGGGUGAUCGGCCACACUGGGACUGAGACACGGCCCAGACUCCUACGGGAGGCAGCAGUGGGGAAUAUUGCACAAUGGGCGGAAGCCUGAUGCAGCGACGCCGCGUGGGGGAUGACGGUCUUCGGAUUGUAAACUCCUUUCAGUAGGGACGAAGCGAGAGUGACGGUACCUGCAGAAGAAGCACCGGCCAACUACGUGCCAGCAGCCGCGGUAAUACGUAGGGUGCAAGCGUUGUCCGGAAUUACUGGGCGUAAAGAGCUCGUAGGCGGUUUGUCACGUCGUCUGUGAAAUCCUCCAGCUCAACUGGGGGCGUGCAGGCGAUACGGGCAGACUUGAGUACUACAGGGGAGACUGGAAUUCCUGGUGUAGCGGUGAAAUGCGCAGAUAUCAGGAGGAACACCGGUGGCGAAGGCGGGUCUCUGGGUAGUAACUGACGCUGAGGAGCGAAAGCAUGGGGAGCGAACAGGAUUAGAUACCCUGGUAGUCCAUGCCGUAAACGGUGGGCGCUAGGUGUGGGGUCCUUCCACGGAUUCCGUGCCGUAGCUAACGCAUUAAGCGCCCCGCCUGGGGAGUACGGCCGCAA
rnacentral:rRNA from 1 species